rnacentral:rRNA from 1 species
GACGAACGCUGGCGGCGUGCUUAACACAUGCAAGUCGAACGGAAAGGCCCUGCUUUUGUGGGGUGCUCGAGUGGCGAACGGGUGAAUAACACGUGAGUAACCUGCCCUUGACUUUGGGAUAACUUCAGGAAACUGGGGCUAAUACCGGAUAGGAGCUCCUGCUGCAUGGUGGGGGUUGGAAAGUUUCGGCGGUUGGGGAUGGACUCGCGGCUUAUCAGCUUGUUGGUGGGGUAGUGGCUUACCAAGGCUUUGACGGGUAGCCGGCCUGAGAGGGUGACCGGCCACAUUGGGACUGAGAUACGGCCCAGACUCCUACGGGAGGCAGCAGUGGGGAAUAUUGCACAAUGGGCGGAAGCCUGAUGCAGCAACGCCGCGUGCGGGAUGACGGCCUUCGGGUUGUAAACCGCUUUCGCCUGUGACGAAGCGUGAGUGACGGUAAUGGGUAAAGAAGCACCGGCUAACUACGUGCCAGCAGCCGCGGUGAUACGUAGGGUGCGAGCGUUGUCCGGAUUUAUUGGGCGUAAAGGGCUCGUAGGUGGUUGAUCGCGUCGGAAGUGUAAUCUUGGGGCUUAACCCUGAGCGUGCUUUCGAUACGGGUUGACUUGAGGAAGGUAGGGGAGAAUGGAAUUCCUGGUGGAGCGGUGGAAUGCGCAGAUAUCAGGAGGAACACCAGUGGCGAAGGCGGUUCUCUGGGCCUUUCCUGACGCUGAGGAGCGAAAGCGUGGGGAGCGAACAGGCUUAGAUACCCUGGUAGUCCACGCUGUAAACGGUGGGUACUAGGUGUGGGGUCCAUUCCACGGGUUCCGUGCCGUAGCUAACGCUUUAAGUACCCCGCCUGGGGAGUACGGCCGCAAGGCUAAAACUCAAAGGAAUUGACGGGGCCCCGCACAAGCGGCGGAGCAUGCGGAUUAAUUCGAUGCAACGCGUAGAACCUUACCUGGGUUUGACAUGGAUCGGGAGUGCUCAGAGAUGGGUGUGCCUCUUUUGGGGUCGGUUCACAGGUGGUGCAUGCCUGUCGUCAGCUCGUGUCGUGAGAUGUUGGGUUAAGUCCCGCAACGAGCGCAACCCUUGUUCACUGUUGCCAGCACGUUAUGGUGGGGACUCAGUGGAGACCGCCGGGGUCAACUCGGAGGAAGGUGGGGAUGACGUCAAGUCCUCAUGCCCCUUAUGUCCAGGGCUUCACGCAUGCUACAAUGGCUGGUACAGAGAGUGGCGAGCCUGUGAGGGUGAGCGAAUCUCGGAAAGCCGGUCUCAGUUCGGAUUGGGGUCUGCAACUCGACCUCAUGAAGUCGGAGUCGCUAGUAAUCGCAGAUCAGCAACGCUGCGGUGAAUACGUUCCCGGG